rnacentral:rRNA from 1 species
GACGUAGGGCGCGAGCGUUGUCCGGAUUUAUUGGGCGUAGAGAGCUCGUAGGCGGCUUGUCGCGUCGGCUGUGAAAGCCCUUGGCUUAACUGAGGAAGUGCAUCCGAAACUGGCAGGCUAGAGUACUAAAGAGGGUCGCGGAAUUCCCGGUGUAGAGGUGAAAUUCGUAGAUAUCGGGAGGAACACCGGUGGCGAAGGCGGCGACCUGGGUAGAUACUGACGCUGAGGUGCGAAAGCGUGGGGAGCAAACAGG